AGCUGAAGCUUGUCUGUGUUCACGGUGUAAAAACCCGCGGGUGGAGACGUGUUUUUGAGAGCGUAGAGAGCCGGAUGCAUUAAACUGGCUGUUGUUCCCCGUUCAGACAGAGGAGGCGCCGUCUCCGUCUGCUCGCCGCGAGACGAGGAGAAACCCAACAAGAGGAGCCGAGAGAGGAAACACAAGAACAAGAAGCAGCACAAACACAAGAAGGACAAGAAGAAGAAGAAGAAGAAGAAGCACAAGAACAAAGGAAAGCAGCAGAAGAAGAGUAAGAAGGAGACGGACAGCAGCGGCGAGGACAGCGGCGAGGACGCUGCACAGGUGUCGACUCAGGAGCUGCUCAAAAGACUGAAAAAUGUCCGGUCUCUUGAGUCCUGGUGAAGACAGUGAGCCGUGUCCUCUGUGAGGACGACCGUCAGCAGAUACCAUGUUGUUCUCAUUUGAAAUAAUAAACGUGUUUAUCAUUUAA